CAGAAAGUAGUUUAUAUAAAAUAAUAGUUUUGGAGGCUAUGGAAGUCGCGGCCUUUCUGAAUAGAAUUUUUUUCUCACAGAUAUCUGCAUGUUACACUUAUAUUUUUAUUUUGGGUUGGGGCCAUUUCGUUUAUCUCUAAUAGAAAGCACCUACUAGUGGCGCUAAUCAGGCUGGAGUAUAUAGUGUUAAUGGUAUUCGCGACAAUAGUUAUCUUUCACCAAGUUACGAUGCUGAUGUUGGCCUUUUUGACUAUCUCAGUGUGUGAGGGGGCCCUGGGGCUGAGUAUUUUAGUAAUUUUCACCCAGACGUAUGGUAGCGAUAGUUUAGACAGAAUAGCUGCAGGUAUAUGA
rnacentral:tRNA from 1 species